AUCAGAAGCAUAUAAAUGCGCGUUGAAUUUAAUUCCACAAUAUGAAAGCAUAAGUGAAAAUUUUACGUUGAAAGUUAGUGAAAUUGAUAAUUACAGAUUUGUUUUGGCGUGUAAAUAAAGAAAGGAAAUUAGUGUGUUAGGUGCAUUCACACUCUCAAUUUUUCUAUAUUCUUAGAUGUUUUAUUCUAGUUGGAACAAAUUAUAGCUUCAAUAUAUAUUUAAAAAAAAUAAAAUAAAGCUUCUAAAGUAUUAAUCUUAACCUUAAAGUAUCGUCAAAAAUAUCGAUACAUACCUAUUUACACAAGAUUAUACUGAGUUCAAUGCAGUGAAUGCUUC